rnacentral:rRNA from 1 species
UACGUAGGGUGCAAGCGUUGUCCGGAAUUAUUGGGCGUAAAGAGCUUGUAGGCGGUUUGUCGCGUCGGGAGUGAAAACCUUGGGCUUAACUCAGGGCUUGCUUUCGAUACGGGCAGACUAGAGGUAUGCAGGGGAGAACGGAAUUCCUGGUGUAGCGGUGAAAUGCGCAGAUAUCAGGAGGAACACCGGUGGCGAAGGCGGUUCUCUGGGCAUGAUCUGACGCUGAGGAGCGAAAGUGUGGGGAGCGAACAGG